CACAGAAAUGCAUCUCUACUCACCAGUGAAUUAUCCUGAAUCUAAUAUACGUUUUGGAUCGUAUUUCGUUUAUCUGCAGUAGAGAUGCUGAGGAUACCAUAAGCACUUAUAUAUACAGAAAUGUCUGACAGUAUUUCAAACCAUGGAAGGAUUAGGAAUAAUUCCCAAACGGGUCUGAUUUUCUGUCACAUUGUCAACUCUUCGAAGCAAUGAUGAUUGUAAAUGUUGCACAUCAGAUAUGUGGGAGGCAUCGUGCUCACUGGCCCUCGUCCUGGUGGGGGACUUCAAUCAUCCGGACAUCUGUUGGAAAGACCACAUGGCGAGCUGCAAGAGGUCCAGAAGGCUCGUGGAAUCCGUUGAUGACAACUUUCUGGUCCAGGUAGUGGACAGACCAACCAGAGGUGAAGCGUUGCUGGACCUGCUGCUCACCAAUGCAGAAGAGAUCAUCAAAGAUGUCAAUGUUGAAGGCAGCCUGGGCUGCAGCAACCAUGCCCUGGUUGAGUUCGUGAUCUUGAGGGAUGUGGGCCUGACAAAGGGUGGGGUCAGGACCCUGAACUUUGGAAGAGUGAACUUUAAGCUGUUCAAUGGAUUGUUGGCCAAGAUCCCCUAGGAUGCUGUCCUUAAAGAUAAAGAUGUUGAGGAGAGCUGGCCACUCUUCAAGGAUGCCCUCCUGAAAGCACGAGAGGUCUCCAUCCCUCUGAAUAGGAAAGUGGGCAGACGAGACAGGAAACCGGCAUGGCUCGGCAACGACAUGCUGGGCACACUGAGGGCAAAGAAAGGAAUGAUGACAUCAACUGAACAAAAUAUGAACUGAUUGAGGGCUUGUGACUUUUAAGGAUUUAUUUCAAAGGGAAACAGAACAAAUGGAUCACUCAGAGGUGAAUCAUAGAAUCAUCUAGUUUGGAAAAGAUCUUCAAGAUAAUCAGGUCCAAACAUCCACAUAAAGCAUCAAGUCCUGCCUUUUCCUAAAUGCCACAUCCACAUAUCUGUUAAAUACCUCCAGCUUCCAAAGUGUCAAGCAAUAUGUAGGAAAAUCACAGCAGAAAAGGGGAAACACUGAUGGUUGAUUAAGUCAUCUGUAGAGACUUCACACUCAGAAGUCCCCCAGCUGAGUUAUGCCCCUUCGUCACGGAAUUCACACCCCACCCCCUCCACUGACGCAAACUUCAGAGAGCAGCUCCAUGGAGGAUAACCUAAGUGCUGCCUGCAGAGCUAAGUGUGCUGUCCUUGCUUGUUAUUGUAGCAUUGAUAUACAUAUCUUCCUUUCCUCAUUUGUUAUAUCCUAAUGUCAUUAGGACAAGCCUGCAGCAAUUUUAAACGCUGGCUGCACAGCCUCUUUGACGUCAUUACAGAAAGGUCUCGAGUGCAGACCCUGCAUAUACUGUCUGUGAUAUAGUGUAUAAAAAUCCAUGUCAGUGCUGGCUCUCGGGGAGCACUGGAAAUGAUUCAGCUGUCUGGAAUGGGCAGAUGGCUGCUAUCAAAGUUUUAUUAUCACCAUCAUUAUUAUUACAGUGGUUUGUGACACAUGCUGAACUUUAAGACUGGUGUAAAAGCUUAAGUAUUUGAGCAACACUUUCUGAAAUUCAAAUCCUUCAAAUCCUUUCCAAUCUAACUCCAAAAAGCAGGAGUACGUUUCAAGCUAAUUAGACAUAUUGCUUGGUUUCACUUCCAACUUUCAGAGUAAUUAUCUCAAAAUUCUUGUUCUCUUGUAAACGCAAAUGUUCACUAUUUUUAAUUGCCUUGAUUUAUUGCAGAACUUAAAUUCAGUACAUGCUGAAAGUUCAGCAGGGUGGAAAGAAAAUUUGAGUUUGUUUAAGGGAGCACAUGGAUAGGAUUGUGUACUGUGGCCUCUGUUUAGAAAAGCUCAUCGUUAACCUAUGCUAACAGGAACUGCUUGCUGGAGGCAUCCUCUAAAACUAACCAUACCGAGGAGUACAGAAUUAAUUGAUACAGAUUUCUUCAACUUGCAACAUGAACAGAUUUACUUGGAUGUUGUAAGAGUGACAUUUCGUUUUCAUCUCUGUAGCUGCUACCUCUGCUGCUUUGUGUAUUUGAAUAUUUCAGUUCUCACAGGGUUCUCUUCUGACGCAUCAGUAGACGGCUGAAGGUUUUUCUCGGUCAUCCUGAGACUGGCUCAGACUAUGUUAUGUUGGCUGUCUGUCUGUGCUUUGUACUUGUCUUUCGUACGGCCUCCAUGGCUCACCAGCAUGAGGUAUAGAUCAACUACUGCUGCCUAUGCCACUGCCUUUUGUGAUUCCUUUUUGUGGUUAUAUUUAGCCCUGAAUGCUAUGGUAUUGGCUUUUGAAUUCUCUGUUCUGGCCAAGUUUUUUGUUUAAGUUGUUGUCCUUUUAGUUUUACUGUAACUGGUCUGUCAGCAGGGGUCCUCUCAGCACAGUAAUGACUCAUGAACAUAUUUCCAUUUCCAGGAGGGCGUAUUGUGGUUGGCCAGCACUGCUAGGCAGACAUCUUAUCCUUCUUGUUCUGCCUUUACCAUCAACAUCCACAUUAUAAUUUCUCAGGCCAGGCAUCACUUUGUGCUUUUAUUUCUUCCCAAAUCUUUGAAAUCAGCUAUCAGGUACUGUGGACCACUUUUUCAGUAUGGCCUGUUGGAUAUGCAGCCAAAGUGUUUUUGUUUUUGUUUUCCUAAUCUCAUUUUUCUAUAUGUCCUGAAAUUGGGCUAGUAAAUUCUUGUAAUGACAGCAUUUUGGGAAGUGAAAGCAAAGAAUUGGACUUAAUUCUUUUUCAAAAGUAUUCAUUUUCUGUGGUUGUAGCAUUCUCCUGCUGUCAGGUAUCAAGGCAUUUGCCCAGCUUCUACUAGAUAUUUAAAACAGGGCCAGGGUUUUUUUCACCAACUAAGACUGGAUUUAUUCUGAUUUAAAUAACAAAAUUUUGCAUCCAGAUAAGUGUGCAUUAAUUACAGUAAUGGCAUGAAUCAUGGAUUAGGUGAGGUUGGCUGAGGAGGCAUUUCUGGAGGCCAUUUGGGUCAACCUCCACUCAAGCAGGGACACCCAGAGCUGGCGGCCCAGAAGCAUAUCCAGAUGGCAAAGAGACACUCAGUCUAUAGUUCUUGUAACUAACCUACAGAUUCUCCCCACAGUCCAGGGAAAUUACACUUAAGCAGCUUGUAGGAUUUUUAUUGAAAGUCAAAGAUAACUUGAAUUCAAAAGUAGCUAGUGAGAAGCAUGACAGCAAAUAUUUGGAAAGGUCAGUAGACUGCUGGGAUGAUACAAUCUCAGGCAGUGGAACAGGAGUAAGAGAAAAGAGAUUGAUAACACUAAUGCUGUAUGAUAGUGACAGAGCAAAUUGUCCCUUUUUACAGAUCUUUUAGACAACUUUAUUUUCUACCAUUGUAUGUGGGAACAUGUUUAGUUUUUUUAGUUGUUUAGUUUUCCACUGAGACCAGAGCCUGAUGAUUUCUCUUGUUCCCUUAAAGUACAUCCAGAAUAUUUAACACACUGGCCUUCCAGCUUAUCACAUGCUUUCUGUUUCUCAGUGACUUUUUUUGAGUUCAAAUCAUUGAGUGCUAAUGCAAAAACCUAAGAGAAUCAGUUCCCCUGUGCUAUGCUUGUGGAAAAAACCUUUGCAAAUAAAAGUCUGAUAUUAAAGUGGGGUGGAGGGAAAAAGAAGGUAACUGUAUUACCUGACUGAUCAGUGCUGCUUUAGUCUGUAUUCAGUAAAUUCACUUAUGAAUGAUAUUUUUCCCUAAAGCAGUGUUUCCCAGAUAUUGAUUGCUGCGGUUGGUAAUGGAUCUAGAGGCCAGCCAGCUUCCAGUGACGCAGUUUCUAGGAACAUGGACAGUGCCAGUCUGAGCUCCAAAAAUCAAUCGCAUAGAGAUGGUUUAUGGUUUGUAACUGUCAGAAAUAGUGGCAGCAGUGUGGCAUUACAGGACGCUGCCCUGUGUCUGUAGACAAAGUGUGUUUUCUGGAAGAGCAGGAUCUUUCCCUCUGCAGAUUUUGGGUACCUCACCUGUUACCAGAGAGAGCAGAGCUGCUUAAGAGCUCAUGGGAGGAAGGACUAGUGAUUGCCAUGCAUGUCUCUUUUCCCUCUGUCAUAAUUGCCUGGGCAGUUAUUUCUCUUCCUACCUGGCAAAACUGGCUGUGUAACACUCAGUGGUGCCAGUGCUCAUCUCCUUCUGUUCCUCAGGGAAACUUACUGUGUCUCAGCCUAGUUUUUUCCCCUUUUUUUUGUCUGAAAAGCCUGGUUCCUUAGUGGGGGUCACAAGCACCACAAAUCUCAAAACGGGAAGGAAAAAAAUAUGUUACUAUUCCAGAUGCUGUUGCUCUCAUAGUAUCAUUGAAUGUUGCUUAUCACACUGCAAUUUAAGUGGAAUGGAAUCUCUUGAGGGACUUAAAAUAACUUUAUCACCAAAUGAAGGCAAGUUUAGUGAGCCUGUCUGUGCUGUUUUCAGUUAGAAUCUCUGGUAGCACUGAGCAGUCUGUCCAGGAAGCUGUUUCCGUAUCAUCUACAGUUUGUCUUAAACUCUACACCCAUUUGAUAGCAGGUAAUGAACAGGUUUUGCUGACAUUCUUCAUAUACAUUCUCUCAUCUUUCCCCAGUAAUUAGCAUGACACAUAGAAGCACAGAGAGGUAGAGUGGCUCAUGCAGACUAAUUUACUCAGUGUUUGGAUUUCAAUGAAUAGCUUAUAAAAAGAUAUGUAUGCUCUCUUCUAUCCCCUUACCUGAGAUAUUCAGUCCACCUCCCUCAGCUUUCUACCAUGACAGCUUGCUUCUAUGGUUGUGAGAGCAUAAGCUGCCUGUCCUGUCUCAGAUGUGCAUCUGACCUUGAUUUCAGAGGCAAAAAGAGAAUGAAAGGAGAUUUGCAGCCAAAAUCAGUUAAUAAUGAGGUGAAAUUAUGUAGGACAAAUCGACUUUAAAAGGAUAAAUGAAGUCAUGUGGAGUUGUGUAAUAUUGCAGUCAGUCUACCACCCACAUCCAAGCUAGUUCUUUAAAAUUGCCUAUUUCUGGGACCAUGGACUUCUGAAUAGUUGUGGCCCUCUGAUCUAUAUGCCCAAAUCUUGAGAUCAAGACCACAGGCAUCUACUUAUUGAGGAGCAAUAAGAAGGGUGAUCUGGAAAUCGUAUGAUUUCCAUGCAUAUGAUGCUACCUCCUGAGAGAUCCUGUCACUGUACCCUAGGGCUAAGUCUGGUGUGCAGCUGAGUCCUGCAUCAGGCUGGCAGUGUUCAUCUUGGCAAUUCCUUUUGCUGUAUUUCCCUUGUAGCUGGGAUCUGGAUUGCCAGCACUGUGCUGCUCUUGGUCAUGGCAUUUGGUUUGGCAGCAGAUGUUAUCCCUCUUAGAAAAAAGAUGCCCCAGUAAAAGGUUGGAUGGAACCUUGAGCAAGCCUGAUCUGGUACAUGGCAAUCCUGGGGAGAGUAAGCUCAAUGAUUUUUAAUGUCCCUUUCAACCUAAGCCACUCGUUGCUUCUAAAUGGAGAAAAGAAUGAGGAGGGAAUUAUUUUCUGCAGGAGUCGUGUCUUACUCAGGCACAUUAGCUUAUCACCCAACCAUAUCCAACAAGUAAUACCACUGUGCGGGGCUCCUGAAUUCCAGCCCUCAGGCAGCAGCCUGCUUUGUGAUCUCUCAUUCAUCUCCAAAGACAAGUGUAGUGGGCUGGAACCAGGACAGACAGUUCAGAUUAAUCAGACUGUGAGCCUAGAGUUUACAUGGUCAGGGGUAAGUGUGUUCUUGAAAUAGGAUUGGCCCAGAUCAAGGAGAAGUAAAGCACAGUUUGUAUGUUUUGAUGUAAGAUUAAAGUCAGAGAAAUGUGAACAAAAACAGACCAAGAUUUUUAAGAUGUUUAUAUUUUUAUUAUUUAUAGAAAUCCUGACAGAGUGUUUUUUUUUCUGAGUGCUCUAAAAUGCAUUGGAACCUGACCUACUUUCUUCUCAGGUUUACCUACCUACAUUUUCCGUAGCUCUGGAGGACACGUCAGCUGCAGACAAGAAGAAAAAAUGCACUAGCUUCAUAAAAUUACAAUACGAUCUCUUAGUUUGGCUGGUGAUUGCAUUCUAAAAGGUAUCACAGCCAGGACACAGAGUCAACUGCAAGAGAUAAGAGGGCUGCUCCCAAAGUAAUGCCUUCUAUUUUAUUAUUUUGGCUCACAAUGUCAGAAUCAGAUGUUGAUGAUAUGGCAGUAGAGAUUGAAUCUUCCCACCAAUGUUUCAUUGCAUUUUGUUGCUGUGUGACAAAUGGCAGCAGAGAGGCAGUCUGACAGAAUGAUGUUUGACAUGGAAGUGCAUAUGAAGCAAAGGUGUGACAUUGAAUUCCUCUAUGUGGAAAAAAAUGACAUCCACUGACAUUCAUGGAUACUUGCUGAACGUUUCUGGAUAUCAAACGGUGAAUGUUGGCACAGUGAUGCUGUGGGUGGUGCAUUUCAGUAGUGGCAACAGUGGGUCAACUCCAGUAGUACAGAUUUUUACAAGUGCAGAAUGCAGGCUUUUGUUCAUCACUGGUAAAAAUGCAUAGUUACUGGUGGUGACUGCGUGGAAAAGUUUUCUGUAGCUGAGAAUUUGCUCUGUCAACUAGUAUUAUCGUGCUUUUUGUAUCUGCUGUAGUUUCCAUGGAAAUAAAUAGGAGGCGUUACUUUUGGAGUGAUCUACAUAAUGUUCUCAGGCUUGUUCACAUAAACAAAUCCAUUCCUUUCUAAACCAUGAAAGUGUCUGUGUGUGGAUGUGCACAGGUUUAAUAGUACAGAAUUAUCUAUAAAGUAUGUGAGAUAGUGUUUUGAGAGAGGAAAUAAGAAGGAAGGAAACAAUGAGGAGCUCUGGAAGGCAGAAAAUGCUAUUUUCGAGUUGGAGUCAGUAUGCCAUAAGUAUCUAAUUUCACAGAUACUUAAUGUCACGUAUAUCAUGCUCUCAUAGAUAUUUAAUACACUUUAUUUUUGUACAUGCUAGUAACAUGCCACAGUAUACUUCUAAAAACCACAAAAAGACAACAUUAAUGGGAUUCUAACUUACUUGAUUUUCUGGGACUUCACUGCAAGAAUAGCUCAAAAAGCUAAAAGAUGACCUGGUGUUUGAGAGAGAGAAAGGGAUUGUAUAUUGAUACUAAUUUCCACUGAGAUCAUUUGGCUGCAGCA
ensembl:lncRNA